rfam:Pelagibaca abyssi strain JLT2014, complete genome.
GGAUCGGGAGGCCCUUGGUGGGACAGGGGCCAGGAAUGGAUCGGAACAAUUGUCGUCUCGGAUGGAUGUGCCGCUGGUGCCCGACAGCAUGCGCG